rnacentral:rRNA from 1 species
UACGUAGGGUGCAAGCGUUGUCCGGAAUUAUUGGGCGUAAAGAGCUCGUAGGCGGUCUGUCGCGUCUGCUGUGAAAACUCAGGGCUUAACCCUGAGCUUGCAGUGGGUACGGGCAGACUAGAGUGCGGUAGGGGAGACUGGAAUUCCUGGUGUAGCGGUGAAAUGCGCAGAUAUCAGGAGGAACACCUGCGGCGAAGGCGGGUUGCUGGGCCGACACUGACGCUGAAGCGCGAAAGCCAGGGGAGCGAACGGG